UCGUACGCGAAAGGGGCUUCGGCCCUGAGUAGAGUGGCAAACGGGUGAGUAACACGUGGGUGACCUGCCUCAGAGUGGGGGAUAACGUCCCGAAAGGGACGCUAAUACCGCAUAACAUCCUGCCUUUGGAAAGGUGGAGAUCAAAGCCGGGGAUCGCAAGACCUGGCGCUUGGAGAGGGGCCCGCGUCUGAUUAGCUAGUUGGUAGGGUAAUGGCCUACCAAGGCGACGAUCAGUAUCCGGCCUGAGAGGGCGGACGGACACACUGGGACUGAGACACGGCCCAGACUCCUACGGGAGGCAGCAGUGGGGAAUUGUUCGCAAUGGGCGCAAGCCUGACGACGCAACGCCGCGUGGAGGAUGAAGAUCUUCGGGUCGUAAACUCCUGUCGAGCGGGAAGAACACUUUCCGGGUGAACAAUCCGGAAGGCUGACGGUACCGCUAAAGGAAGCCCCGGCUAACUCCGUGCCAGCAGCCGCGGUAAUACGGGGGGGGCAAGCGUUG
rnacentral:rRNA from 1 species